GAUGGAGGGUAUACAGUAGGUAUGAUGGAGGGUAUACAGUAGGUAUGAUGGAGGGUAUACAGUAGGUAUGAUGGAGGGUAUACAGUAGGUAUGAUGGAGGGUAUACAGGAGGUAUGAUGGAGGGUAUACAGUAGGUAUGAUGGAGGGAAUACAGUAGGGAUGAUGGAGGGUAUACAGCAGGUAUAAUGGAGGGUAUGCAGUAGAAAUGAUGGAGGGUAUACAUCAGGUAUGAUGGAGGGUAUACAGUAGGUAUUAUGAAGGGUAUACAGUUGGGAUGAUGGAGGGUAUACAUCAGGUAUGAUGGAGGGUAUACACUAGGUAGACGGAGGGUAUACAGUAGAUAUGAUGGAGGGUAUACAGUAGGUAUGAUCGAGGGUAUACAGUAGGUAUGAUAUAGGGUAUACAGUAGGUUUGAUGGAUGGUAUACAGUAGGUAUGAUGGAGGGUACAUAAGGUAUGAUGGAGGGUAUACAGAAGGUAUGAUGGAGGGUAUACAGUAGGUAAAAUGGAGGGUAUACAGUAGGUAUGACGGAGGGUAUACAGUAGUUAUGAUAUCGGGUAUACAGUUGGUUUGAUGGAGGGUAUACAGUAGGUAUGAUGGAGGGUAAACAGUAGGUAUGAUGGAGGGUAUACAGUAGGUAUGAUGGAGGGUAUACAUCAGGUAUGAUGGAGGGUAUACAGUAGGUAUGAUGGAGGGUAUACAGUAGGUAUGAUGGAGGGUAUACAGUAGGUAUGAUGGAGGGUAUACAGCAGUGGGUCAGCUCUACUAGCUGGCGAUCCAGCCC
ensembl:lncRNA